rnacentral:ncRNA from 1 species
UAAAAGCUUGGUUCUAGCUUAAAGUUUAGCUGUCCUCUAUCUGCCACAUGCGAGCCUUAAGACGUUCCAGCAAGAUGAGAAAUACCUUUUAUAAGACUUCUCAGUUGAUAAGUUUUCACCUAACAAAAGAUACCACUUGCGAUCAGCAGUGCCUAAUUUUAUAAAAUUUGGGAAACCAAGAAAUAGACAAGAGGAAAACAGGGUGGUUAAUAACGUGCCAGCAACCGCGGUUACACGUUAAGCCUAAGUUAAACUAAGCCGGUCCAAAGGAGGUAAGGCCUUUACAAGAACAACCACUUUAAAAGAAGUCCUCAGCAGUAAUAAGCUUAAGACUAAAAAAUAGAGUAAGAAAGGCCCAGCCGAAAGAGAGGGAAAUAAACUGGAAUUAGAUACUCCACUAUACCCAUUUGUAAAUAAAAUAAACACCAGAGCAGUACAGCUAAAAGCUGAAACUUAAAGAACUUGGCGGUUUUCUAGCCCUUCUCGGAGGAGCUUGUCAUUGAAUUGAUAACCCACAAGGUACCUCACCAUUUAAAGACUAAUCCAGCCUGUAUACCAUCGUCGUCAGCUCACCUCUCUAGAAAGUGAGCAAAAAGGUAAACACAAUUCCACAACGUCAGAUCAAGGUGCAGCCAAUGAAAUGGGAAUCGAUGAGCUACCCUACUUUGUAACAGAGGAUUUUUCGCUGAAAAGUGUUUCUGAAAAAGGAUUCGACAGUAAUUUUUUAUAGAGAAAUUUUAUGAAACCAGCUCUAGAAUGCGCACACAUCGCCCGUCACUCUCGUCAAACGAGGAGAAAAGUCGUAACAUAGUAGGUGUACCGGAAGGUGUACCUGGACCAAA